rnacentral:rRNA from 1 species
UACGGGGGGGCGAAGCGUUGUUCGGAUUCAUUGGGCGUAAAGGGUGCGUAGGUGGCGCCGUAAGUCGGGUGUGAAAUUUCGGAGCUUAACUCCGAAACUGCAUUCGAUACUGCGGUGCUUGAGGACUGGAGAGGAGACUGGAAUUCAUGGUGUAGCAGUGAAAUGCGUAGAGAUCAUGAGGAAGACCAGUGGCGAAGGCGGGUCUCUGGACAGUUCCUGACACUGAGGCACGAAGGCCAGGGGGAGCAAACGGGG